AACGUAGGAGGCGAGCGUUAUCCGGAGUUACUGGGCGUAAAGCGUAUGUAGGUGGCAAGGCACGUCAAAUGUGAAAGCCCCCGGCUCAACUGGGGAGGGUCACGCGAUACUGAUCGACUCGAAGGCAGGAGAGGGAAGUGGAAUUCCCGGUGUAGUGGUGAAAUGCGUAGAUAUCGGGAGGAACACCAGUGGCGAAGGCGACUUCCUGGCCUGUUCUUGACGCUGAGGCGCGAAAGCUAGGGGAGCAAACGGG
rnacentral:rRNA from 1 species